GUUUCCAUGUGAAUUUGUUUUCAUGGUGACAUGUUCUUGGCAUGCAAGAUAACCAUGCAACAGGCUCUGCUGCUGAGCGUAGUGUUUAUAUCUGAUCCUAAUCACCCUGAUUCUAAUCACUUCACUGCUCUUGUAUCAGAUGAAGCUCAGUGAUGAAGAAGUACAUAGGUGCUGUUUUGAGAGCAGACAGAAUAUAUCAUGAGAGGUGGCUUUGGUUUGAUAAUAGCAGCAGGCUUUUCUUGAGAUCAAACAUUCAGAUGAUUUCUGCAUACAGUAUUAACUUAAAUUCACAUCCGUGACUCUUCCAUGACAGAUCACUUGUGCUGUAAGAGGCUUAAUGAAGCAAAUGUGUGAAGAAAACCAUUCCCCAGAGACACUGAAGAUCUUCAUAAUGUGAGAGGGCUACAGAUGGCUUAAUAAGUUACUCAUGUUUAAUGUCAGAUGUUGAUGUUCUUAUUUUAGCCACAGAAAUAAAUCAAACUGCAAACUGUCCCACUGGAAGACAGAACAUUUCUGCAGAUGAGAGAUCUUUUUAGGUAGAAAAGCUAGUAUCAUUAAAAAAAACACCCCACCCUUAAACUUGCUGUAUGUAUUUAUACUGGUAAAGAGCCGGGGAUAGCACUUCUUUUAUACUCAUCACCUGAGGCAGACAGGAGCUGAAUGAAAACUCAUCAGCUGAACUCCCAGGGGAAAGCUACGUUCUGUCUGGAUGAUGCUUCGAGAAAUACUGAGAUGCACCAAGUUUGAGAUUUAGCAGCAAUAUAGCUGACCACUACUGCAAUUAACUUGACAGUGAAAUAUAGGAAUGAUUGCUUCUUUCAGUGAUCCAUAUAAUGAAAGGCCUAAAGCAUCAAUCCUUAAAUCGCUUAAAGAGGAAAGAAGACAUUUCUUCUAUAACUCAACACCUGCCAACUUGGUCUUUACAUGUGAAAAAAACUUUAUGCAUUCAAUACUUUUGAUGAGUACCUU